rnacentral:rRNA from 1 species
AACGAACGCUGGCGGCAUGCCUAACACAUGCAAGUCGAACGAGACCUUCGGGUCUAGUGGCGCACGGGUGGGUAACGCGUGGGAACCUGCCCUUAGGUUCGGAAUAACUCCCCGAAAGGGGUGCUAAUACCGGAUAAUGUCUUCGAACCAAAGAUUUAUCGCCUUUGGAUGGGCCCGCGUUGGAUUAGCUAGUUGGUAGGGUAAAAGCCUACCAAGGCGACGAUCCAUAGCUGGUCUGAGAGGAUGAUCAGCCACACUGGGACUGAGACACGGCCCAGACUCCUACGGGAGGCAGCAGUGGGGAAUAUUGGACAAUGGGCGAAAGCCUGAUCCAGCAAUGCCGCGUGAGUGAUGAAGGCCUUAGGGUUGUAAAGCUCUUUUACCCGGGACGAUAAUGACAGUACCGGGAGAAUAAGCUCCGGCUAACUCCGUG